UACUUAAGCCAUACCUGCUUGUCAUGCCCUGAUCUCAUAAGAUCUCAGGUGCUCAGCAAGGCUGGGCCUGGUUAGUACUUGGAUGGGAGACCGCUGGGUCACAUCAGGGGCCACAGUGG
rnacentral:rRNA from 1 species